CCACCACAAAAAUUACACUUACUUUGAGAUCAUUCUGAGGUUAAAUACAGAGUUAAAAUCAUAAUAAGAAAUAGUGUAAUACAGUAGCUAUACUGUUUUUUUUUUUGGGUGGUGUUUAUGACCUACACUGCAGCAGCCACCAGACGGCGAUCAAACUGUUUGGGCUUCACUUGUUCUGAACUAGUGUUAAUUUCAUUAAUGAAAACUAUGAAGAAAAAUGUUUGUUGACAAGCUUUUUUCCCCAUAACUGGAACGAGAUGACAGUAUUUUGUGUUGUAAAGUAACCUCUUAUGUGUGUAAACCAUCAAGAACAUUUGAUUUACUGUUUCAUGAACCUUUAAAAGCUUCAUCUUAACAAAACAAUGAAUGUGACUCAUGACAAAACAAUUUCAUUUUAUAAAUAAAAUAAGACUGAGAAUACACAGUUACUGUGUGGAAUUAAUACUUCAUUGCAAGUCUCUUUUAUCUUUAUCUUUGUCUGCUUUUAUCUUUAACAGCUUUACCCAGAUCUACUCUGACUGUGACUCCAGACAGUCCUGUAUUCACUGGAGAGAGAGUGAUUCUGAAGUGUGUGAUUGAGUCUUACAGUAACUGGAGAUAUGAGUGGUAUAAAGGCACAGGCAGUGUAAUGUUACAGACGUCUGAGCGUUACACUGUAAACACAGACACUCUCACUAUCAGAGGAGUGAAUGAGUCUGAUCAGGAUCAGUUCUGGUGUAGAGGACAGAGAGAUGGAAGACCAAACUCAUCACAGGAGAGUGAACGAAUAAAUCUGUCUGUUAAUGCAGCUUCAUCUUCUCUUCUGGUCACUGGUGUGGUUGUGGGAUUGAGUGUUUGUCUGUUGUUCUUCCUCUCACUGCUGCUGAUGUGGAGAUACAAGAAGAACAAAGAUCAGCAGCGUAACAUUAACCAGACAUCAGUCCCAAAUCAAUCUGCACAAUCUCAACCGGAAAACUCUCCUCUACAGUCUGGUCAGCCUCAAUAACUAAUUAUAUACAUACAUAUAUAUACAGGUGCUUCUCAAUAAAUUAGAAUGUUGUGGAAAAGUUCA
ensembl:lncRNA